GGAGCGCCUCUGACUGACUUCCCCCAUGUGUCCGUGUGGCCACACCGUGCUACUUUCAGAGGCAGUGGGCUUUUCGCUAAGCGAUAAAAAGAAGUAAAACCUUGCCUUUAGCGCAGCUCUCCAUCACUGGGCAGAUUGCUCUCCCUCCCCACUCUCCCAGGCCCAAAUUGGAUCUCAGCGCCUGGGAGCUCCAACUGCAGCAAGUGCAAAAUCCUGUCUUCGGUUUUGGAAUUUUCAUCCGCACAGACUAUAUCAGCCACGGAUAGGAUACGUGAGAAUACUAGCAUGUCAAAGCUGGGAAUCAUCCUUAGGCAUCACCUAGCCAGUCCUGCCUCUCAUUUUAAGGAACACCUGGAGAUGAAGACAAGGAAAAUGUCAGUUUCUACAUUAAGUAACAAACUAGAAAGAAAACAUAACUUUUUUUCUCCUUCACAAAAACAUACCAAAUGGGAACUGCGCAACCAUCUUUGGAGAUGUGAGAGGCUCUGAAAUGCCAAAUCGGUUUUCAGCACGGACCCGGAAGAUGUACUCCUGGCCUGGGAUGAGCUUUCCAACCCUGCAGGAAGUUUUUGUGACUGAAGCUAGAGCCGUGACCCAGUCACCUCGGCUUACAUCACACUUCUCCACUAUAUAAUUGGUGAUGUUACUGCCUCCGUCCUCCAGAGGGAUGUGCCAUGACAGGGAGCAAGCAUCAGCGUCUAUAUCAGAAAUGUCAAAUGGAGGCUGAGGGGGGCCGGGGGCAUCUGCAUGAACCAAGAGGAAAG
rnacentral:antisense_RNA from 1 species